rnacentral:ncRNA from 1 species
AAGUAUUUGGCAAAAUAUCCCUGUAAGUUAGUGAGAACAGGUGCCUCCUCGGGGGUUCAUAGUGACCAUCCUUGGGAGACUAUUUAUCAAAAUCAUAGGUCUCCACAAAGUCAUAAGACCAUGUAUGGGGGUUGACGCAGUGUCAAAAGUUUAAGGAAGUUAGUGACCUAAUGACAGAAAAAUUAGCAACCAAAGCUCUAGUGAACAAUGAUCGUAACUAUAAUGGUUGGAUAAGUUAUGACAUGCAUGAAAGGUGUAACAAUCUAGGCACUAUUUAAACGUAUGACCUACAUGAAAGGUGUAACGAUUUAGGCACUAUUU